AUAGUUUCUCGGCCUUUUGGCUAAGAUCAACUGUAGUAUCUGUUCUUAACAGUUUAAUAUCUGAUACGUCCUCUAUCCGAGGACAAUAUAUUAAAUGGAUUUUUGGAACAGGGAGAUGGAACAGGAGCUUGCUCUGUCCAUUCCGGGCAUCGACCUGAUAUUGCAGUACCUCCAGGAACGGUGCACCAAAG